CCUACGGGUGGCAGCAGUGAGGAAUAUUGGUCAAUGGACGAGAGUCUGAACCAGCCAAGUAGCGUGAAGGAUGACUGCCCUAUGGGUUGUAAACUUCUUUUAUAUGGGAAUAAAACGUUCCACGUGUGGGAUUUUGUAUGUACCAUAUGAAUAAGGAUCGGCUAACUCCGUGCCAGCAGCCGCGGUAAUACGGAGGAUCCGAGCGUUAUCCGGAUUUAUUGGGUUUAAAGGGAGCGUAGGUGGAUAGUUAAGUCAGUUGUGAAAGUUUGCGGCUCAACCGUAAAAUUGCAGUUGAAACUGGCAGUCUUGAGUACAGUAGAGGUGGGCGGAAUUCGUGGUGUAGCGGUGAAAUGCUUAGAUAUCACGAAGAACUCCGAUUGCGAAGGCAGUUCACUGGACUGCAACUGACACUGAGGCUCGAAAGUGUGGGUAUCAAACAGGAUUAGAUACCCUUGUAGUC
rnacentral:rRNA from 1 species